UGCAGUGAUCUUUAGCCGGGUAAGUGCCACCAGGAGGAAUGGGUCUGGAGCGUUGCCUCCAGUCCUCUCUCAGCUUCACUGACUUUGAGUUGGGUUUUCCAUAUGUUCCACCACAUAACACAACACAAACUUUGCUGUGAAACAAACACACAGAUAACAAACAGAGGCUCACACAAAGAGUUUUGGGGGGUACCUUUAGAGGAAGAGGAAGAGGAAGAUGAAGAUGAGGAAACAAUGGAGAGUGAGAGACGAAGGGAAGAGAGCUUGGCAAUUAGAGAACACAUUCCAGCUGAGAGAAACCCCAAGCCAACAGUAAUGCAACUGAAACAGAGUGAGAGUGACUACAAUGUGCUGAGGCUGUGUGAACCACCUAUUUCUUUCUAACAGUCUGCCAUGGUGCUUUAUAAGAUUUGGUCACUCGUGUGACCGGGUGCACCUGGUUCGAACCAAAGUCUAAAAAUAUCCAUAGUUUUGGAAAUAUCGGUAGUUCAAAAGCACGGAUAUUUCGAUAUCGAUAAAAAUUGAAUAAAAACCACGAAAAUUGUAAGCAAAACUUGAAAUUUUUUCUUCAAAAGUUGGAGGAUUUUUAUUUAGUCAAUUAUCUAUUACUUUAUCAUAAAACAUUGGAAGGAUAUGCAUUGCAUGAUGUGUUUAACUGAUUUAAGUUGAUUAUAUAGCAAGCUGACAAAUACUCCAAGCGUAGAAAAUAUGUAAUAAUUAAUUAAAGAAGAUUAAACACACCAUAAUCAAUGCUAUACAUUGCAUGGUAAGAUGCAUGAGUGACUUAGUACCACAUAUAGUUUGUAUAAGAUUCAAAUUUGAGUUAUUUACACUAUCAACUCCUGAGGUUUUCGGUUUUGUCACAAAACUCCUUGAGGUUUUAGAAAUUAUAAGAACACCCCUGAGAUUUUAAAUUGUUUUCACAAAACUCAUUUUCAUUGAUUUUUCAUCCAAAGAUUGAUAAUGUUAUACACACAAAAAUUUCCAAAUGACAAAGUUGGCAUUUGAGAUUAGAUUGCAUAUACUUCAUUGAGGUUAAUUUUGUCAUUUGCAUAAGUUUUUUUUUAAUAAAUGAAAUCAUCAAUUUUGGACAAACAAUCAACGAAAUGGGGUUUUGUGAAAACAAACUGAAACCUCAUGAGUGUUCGUGUAAUUUUUUAGACCUAAUGGGGUUUUGUAAGAACACAAGAAAUCUCAGGGGGUGUUAGUGUAAAUAACUCUUCAAAUUUUUCAUUGUCUUCAUCAUCUCGAUAUUAUCGAUAUUAUAGCGAUAUUUUGACCAAAUGUUGCUGAAGUGUGAGAGAAAUUAUCGACGUCGAUAUUUUUCGAUAUUAUUGUCGAUAUUAUCGAUACUUAUAUAGAUAUGUUCCAAAAUAUCCUAGACCCGAAAAAACGAUAAUAUCCUUCAUAUCUUAGUAGUAAAUACUUGAAAAAUUGUAGGGUCCAAGUCUACCGAGGGAUGGCAAGUGAUUAGGUCUUUGAACAAGGUUGUGAAAACUUAAAUAACUCGCUUACCUUGAGUGCUAAUAAUUUACUCUAUGGUUCUUUGUGAACAAUUUGCAUUUAACUAAGCCUGAAAUCAAGCAACAUAGAUGUACUGGCAUGAAACCAUUUUCUUCUACUUAGUAAGAUGCUCAUACUUGUUUAAGGUCUUAAAAUCAAAUUUUAAUGUAUGAAACCUGGUGUUUGUUAGGAUUGAAUGUGGCUUUCAUAGAGGUCUCUGUGUAUUUUAAUGGAUGAAACCUGGUUGCGACUCCAAUUAUUUUGAAUUGACACACCAACUCUCUCUUUGCAUAGUUUUUGUCAGUAUUUAUUGUCAAGUUUUGUAAUGUAUAGGUAUCCUCAGACGUCAGAGGAUGCCAUUUCUGAGUCUUGUCCAGUAUGCUGUGGAAAUUGCUGAUUAGAAGAUGACUUCACAUGAAUACAAUUUUUUUUUGGGUGAUUUUUGAAAAUUUUGUAAAAAACACGUGUAUUAAAUAAGAAAAAUACAUAAGUAUGUGUAUUGUAUGUAUGUUUUUAAAAAAAAUAUGUAUUUUACCGGGUCUUUAAGAUGUGUAUGGAAAACAGAAGUAUUAUUGAAAAAUACGUACUUACGUGUAUAAUACAAGUAUUAAAUGGAAAAAUGCUAAAUUCUUUAUAUGGGUAAUAAAUAAAAAAUCAAAAGGAGACAAUAGAGACUCGGGUAAUGGCCUAUGCUAUAAACUACUCUUAUCGAUAAAUGAAAAUCAGGGGAAAAAAAUGUUUAAAAAAAGAGUAGAGCCGGGCGGCUAUAUUUAAGGGUAGAGCUAUUAUUUAAACAGUAUAGCCGCGCGGCUGUACUAUUUAUUUGGAAAAAAAAAAAAAUAGGACCCGCCUAGACCGCCUAGGCGGCCGAUUUUUCGAAAGCCUGAAUCGGGUUGUUUUUUUAUUUUAAGAUUUCUUUUUUUCGGUGGGUCUGACAUCUCUGCAAAUACAAAGCUAAGGUUUUAGUGACUUACUCACUGUUUAUCAACAACGUAAAGGUUAGCUCUUCCCAACAAUUCACUCUUAAAUUGAGGGUUGAAGCCAUGUCUGAAAGUAAUUGUGGUUUCCAAUGUGCAUGCCACCAAAUAUCACACUCACCUGAGGAAGGUAAGCGGAGGGAUUGAUUUGACAACGUAGUUCAAGAACUGAAGCAUCAAGUAUGCAUAUAGUUCCAUAUACCGUCUGGCCAUCACCUGAGUAUGUUGCAUGGGAAAUUGAUGCAGAAAAAUCUGGAACCCACUGGAAAUACAACACAAAAGACUUAAAUCAUCCGUAUCCUCAAACAACAUGAGAGAGAGAGAGAGAGAGAGAGAGAGAGAGAGAGAGAGAGAGAGAGAGAGAGAGAGAGAGAGAGACCUGGUUAACAUAUGCUAUUUCUUUCACUUCAUAUACUGCAAGGUGAAUCUUGUUUAUGGCAAGGAGGUGCAGAUCAUUCUGGUGAAUUUGGAUGUAAGUAUCUGACAAUGAUCUCAACUCCUUCCCAUCUGGAAUCUGCAACAAUUUGCUUCUCUGUUUUUCCCACCCAGCAGCACCCCAGCACAAAAUCUGCAGGGCCAAAACUACAUCGUUAAAUAACAGAAGUCACAUUAAAGUAGAAGCCAUGUCUGAAAGUAAUUGUAGUUUCCAAUAUGCAUCAGCACCAGAAGAAACUAGUACAUAAGAGUGUUCGAGAAGGCAAGGCUAUACCGUCAUCUCAGGGGUGAAAAGCAAGAAAUGUUGCCGCAGGUGGCGGUGGCGGUGGCAUGACUUUCUUCAUGGUCUGCGUUUUUACGCAUCAGAUUUUUAUGAGUACAAUGAGUUAGAUCAUGAGAAAUUUGCAAACAGAACCUAAGCAUAUUGACAAACAAGAUUUGGGAAGUUUUGGCUGGGAAAAGAAUAUUUCAAGAAUACUAUGUGUUGGGUUUACCUUAAAUGUUGUCAUGUAAAAAAUGGAGAUCAUCCCUCCUGUUGCUGAUAUGAGAUAUCAAUCAUUCUUGGACAAAUCAAAGCAGGACAUAGCCUCUUCAGGGUUGGUGCUGGGAAGGUCAUUGUUCAUCAGCUCUAAGCCACUCCUUGGUUUCCAUAAAUUAGGGUGAACCUUGGGAGUUUGGGUAAUCACCACAUUUUUUAGAGUAUUUGAAGUGGAUUUCGGGUAAUCACUACAAAUUUUUUUAGUAUCCAUUUUGGGUCCAUAUUGCCUGAAUUGUGAAGUAAUUGGCAAUUCUGGUAGGUUGGUGCCACAGGAAAAGCCCUGAGGGAUGUCAUUGCUGUUGUAUCGGUGGCAGCUUCUACUGGGGGAUGGCAAGUGAUUAGGUCUUUGAACAAGGUUGUGAAAACUUAAAUAACUCGCUUACCUUGAGUACUAAUAAUUUCUGCUCUCUGGUUCUUUUUGAAUAAUUUGCAUUUAACUAAGCCUGAAAUCAAGCAACAUAGAUGUAUUGGCAUGAAACUAUUCUCUUUUAGUUAGUAAGAUGCUCAUUCUUGUUCAAGGUCUUAAAUUCAAAUUUUAAUGGAUGAAACCUGGUGUUUGUUAGGAUUUAAUGUGGCUUUAAUAGAGGCCUCUGUGUAUGUAUGGUUGCGACUCCAAUUAUUUUGAACUGACACACCAACUUUCUCUUUGCAUAGUUUUUGUCAGUAUUUAUUGUCAAGUUUUGUACUGUAUAGUUAUCCUCAGACGUCAGAGGAUGCCAUUUCUGAGUCUUGUCCAGUAUGCUGUGGAAAUUGCUGAUUAGAAGAGGAAUUCACAUGAAUACAAUUUUUUUUUACUGGGUGAAGAGAAGCAUUCUGCAAAUGACAUUGACACGCAGACACUCAGAGGCUUAUAGUUAUACUCUUUGCUUUUCAAUAUUUUACAAUCAUUUGUGUAUUGGUAGAGCCUUUACCAGGAACAUAUUCUAUAUCACAUUUAUUCUGUAGUCUGAUUAUCAUUUGAUAUUAACUUUGUCAGCAACAACUGCAAAACUUCUAUUUUUCAUUUUCACAGAAGCUUUCCUAGUUGUUCAUAUGAUCUCUGGCUCAACUGUUGUAGGGAGAUCCGAGAUGGGCACUUGCAGGGAGGUGGGAAGGAAGUGAUUAUGGAAUAUGUCAGUCGGGGCCUAUACUAUUUGCAUAGUGGAAAGGAAAGGGUGGAACUGCUUCCUGAAACUAGCCCCAAGCGUUCUGGAAGGUGAACAUUUAAGUGGAAACCAAAUGAAGAUGGAAGUAUUUGUUGCCCCCCAAAGGACAUGAAUGGCUGUGGUGAUGGUAUUUUAGUAUUUAGAUGCAUGUUUUCCGAAAAUCACAUCAGGGGGUUGGUAAAGAAAGCAGGAGAAAUAGAUGAAGCUUACAAACUUAAGUGAAAAUUUGGCAGAAAGGCGUUUAUGUCUCAACUCUGUGGAUGAUGUCGACUCAAGCAGCAUAGCUUCUAGAGCUGCUUCUGAAGAAAACUAUUUGUACGGUCCAAGGGCUGGAGAUAUCCAACGUGAGAAUUUAAAGCAUUUUCAGUGGCAUUGGUUCAGGGGUGAACCUGUAAUUGUGAGUAAAAUGAAACUACAAAAGGUUUAAUCUGGGAACCAUUGGUCAUGUGGCAUGCUUGUCGUCAGAUGCAACAUACUAAGCAUGGUAAACAUUUGGAAGUCAAGAGCAUUGACUGCUUGGAUUGGUUUGAGGUGAGUUGUCCUCUGGCUUUGAAUUGCUGUAAUUAUGUUUCUAAUUGCUCACUGCUGCUUGUAAUGAUGUUUUAAAUAUGUGAACUGUUUAAAGUAAUAGUGCGAGAUGUUUGGGAAAUAUCUGUAUUCUGUACACAGUUGUUGUCAUCAAUUUAGGUGGAUAAUUAUGAUGGUAUUCGAAUUUUUCAUCACAAACUGUGUCUUUUUGACGUUGUGGGUGAUUCAUCCCAUUGAUCAGACCUUUUAUCUGACUCUGGAGCAUAAACAGGAAGAAUAUGAUUAGUUCAUUAAAUACUUUUGAGUUGUUUGUGCAGGUGUUUUAGUUUGGUUGACAACUUUUUCUAAUAAAAUCUUUAAAUAUCGUUCCUUGAAGAUCCAAAUUUCUGAAUAUCGUUCCUUGAAUGGUGUGGCAACUGAAUUACUUGCUCAAAUUCAAUAGUGGAGGGCACUGAAUCUCUUGAAAUAAAUAGCUAUCCCUGCAGUUAUUCAUAUAAAGAUCAUUCAUACAUGAAAUAGGCUGAAAGAAACAUAUUAUUUAAUUGAUUCAUAUAAAAUUUUAACAUGAUAUCAGAGCACCAGUUCUAGGGUGUCUCUUGAAUACUUUUUUUUUACACUCCUUUUAUCACCUAGGGUUUUUCACAACCCUAGCCACAACACCCAAUCAUGGGUGACAACAAAUCAAACACAUAUCAAACAUCAGCUUCCGACAACGAAGCCCCCAGGUUCACAACUGAAGAAUACAGUCAACUUAAGUCUCUUCUUCACAAUGGUACAGUAUCUCCUUUUUGCGCCAGCGCCAAUAAGUCAUCACCAUCCACAACAUCUUGGAUACUUGACAGCGGAGUCACCGAUCAUGUCGCUCCUCCUUCUAUGUUAAACACAUUGAAAGUUGCACCUUUGUUUUCCCCACAUUCGGUUUACAUACAGGUACUUCCUGAUGGUAUGGUAAUCGAGUUAAUAAUGAGCAAAUUCCAGACCCUUUGGGCCAAUAUGUUAGAACCUUUAUGCUACUAACAGUAAGUUAAGCUUGAUUCAGUAGAUAAUAAAACCUUUGUAUAAUAUGUCAGACCAAGGUGAUGGUGACAAAAUGUAACCAUGAUUCUUGCAGUAGACUUGUAAGUUUGAGAAAGUUUUAUUAUUUGGAGUUUAAAAUUUUUUUUAAAGGCUUCAAGUAUUAUUUUUUUUGGCCCCUUGUAACUAAAAUAAAUGAGUUUUUUUGGUCGAAGUAAAAUAAAUGAGUAUUUAAACAAGUUAUUUGAAUCAAUUUGAAGAGUUUUAGAAAUAAAUAAAUGAGUAUAUAAUGACGUGAAAAAUAACAAGUCUAAUAAUUCCUUCCUCCAAGAAAAACUGUACAUUAAACUGUUUGUUCUUCCAAAAUUUAGUCUCAGCCAAAGUUUUGACGUUACAGAAAUGGUGUUACAAUUUACAAUCCAAUUUUCCUUGAAUUCAUUUUAUCUGAUUUGACUUUUCUCCUUAGUUGAGCAGAAGCUUUCCAUCACCAAUUUGACUUCAACAGAAGAAUUCUUGGCUUGGAAUCAAUUACCUAUGAUCAUAGCAAACAUAUAUGUCAACCUGAGAAGAACAAAGAAUUGAUCGAUACGUAAUUGGUUAUAUAUAUAUAUAUAUAUAUAUAUAUAUAUAUUUACAGAAAAGAUUAAGGACAACAUUCGGUGUACAUUGAAGUGCCCUCUUUAUCAUCUGCAUUUCCCCAGCUAAUGCAGUCACUUGUUGGUAAGAAUCCGAUCGAUUUCACCAUUCUUAUUGUAGGUAUCCACAAUCUUCUUUGCAUAUGAAGGCAUAUGCUGAUCAGCUCUGCAUGGUUCAUGUUUUCUUUUGGUAAAUUGCAUGUUUUCAUGUUUCGAAUAUAAGAAACCAGCAUCACAGUUCUACUAUCAGGUAACACAUUGAAAGUUGCACCUUUGUUUUCCCCAUAUUCGGUUUACAUACAGGUAGUUCCUGAUGGUAUGGUAAUCGAGUGAAUAACGAGCAAAUUCCAGACCCUUUGGGCCAAUCUGUUCAACAAGAACCAAGUCAUAAAAUAAAAGUUUGAAUAUAAUUUUAUAAUUCCUAAAUGCAUCACUCAGAGUCCUUACCAAGUUUAGCAAGAAAGCAAUCACAUUGCCAACAAACUUUGGGGCAGGUUCAGGACCCUUUCCUGAGAAACAAGAUUGUGAAAACAAUGGUAAGCAGCAUAUAUUUUGCGAGUCCUCCAGAAUUUUGGAUGAGCUAUAUAGCCUAUAUUACAAACCAAAUGAUUUUCAAGAAAAAUAAAGCAUAUUUUCUUCAGAAGAUAGAGUCUAAUACAGCGAAAUGAUAAACAUUUCUAUUCUUGAUCCCAUCAAGGGGAGGUCCUAUUCCCUGAAUACACCCAUAAAAAGUAUCACAAAAAAGAUACAGCACGUACCCAACUUUGCAUUAUCAUCUGCCUUAACAGUCUCCAUGACAAAUGGUUGGCGAUUUCCCUGUAAUUGGCCAUGCUUAGAAUACUUCAUUGCAAAGGAAACUAUGUCCUCUAAACAUUAAAUUUCAAAUCACAGAAAUACAGAGAGAGAAAUAGGAUAGGAUCAAGGUUUUACACUGCUAGUUGUUGGAGUAACCUCCAAAAGAUUAUCAACCAGACUGAGCAUCUCUCUUCCACGUUCAUUUCUACCAUUUGAAGGCAAGAAAAAAAUAGAAAUCUUUAUUUAUUUAUUUCCUUUACCACCAAAGUGGAAUAAAAUAUUGCAAUAGCACAAUGAUAAUCAAUAAGCACAACAAAAAGCUGCACACAGAGUCUGAGCAACGAUAUUACCUUACCGUAACAUACUGUGGAUGUUGAGUCAUGCUGAUUCCAGAAUAUUUUGGCACACCCAUGUAUCCCACAACUAAAUCCUGAAAUAGGUGAGAGACAUGUGAGAACCUUUAUACUACUAACAGUAAGUUAUGCUUGUGUCAGUAGAUAAUAACAGCUUUGUAUAAUAUGUCAGACCAAGGUGAUGGUGAUAAAAUGUAACCAUGAUUCUUGCAAUAGACUUGUAACUUUAAUUAAUUUUCACCAAGGUUAUAUGCAGAGAGAGAGAGAGAGAGAGAGAGAGAGAGAGAGAGAGAGAGAGAGAGAGAGAGAGGAUAGUAGCAGCAGUUGAUUCCAAACAAUUGGAAAUUCCUUGUUUUUGUUGAAUUGCAUUUUUCAUGUCUAAAUGAGCUUCCAAGUUUUAAUUUGAUCAUCAAACAUAGUCCAAUUUCAUGUACAAAUACCCAGUUUCAAAGACUUACAUCUAUCUUUGACAUAAAAGUGUUCCUACAUUACAUAAUACAUUAUCCUUCAUAAACCAAUUGCUGAAUUGAGACAGUACAAAGUCUAAUAACUCUCCCUCUUUCCCUCUCCCUGGCCAAAAAAGAAAAAAAAUACAAAACAAAAAGAAAAACAUGCAAAAGCAAUUAACUUAAGAAGAAAUUUAAUAUCAAAAUAAAUGUUUAAUCGUAGAAAUUAGUAAAAAAUGAACUAUUUUCAACAGAAAGUGUUACUUGCAUAUUCUAACCAAAAAAUGCAUGGGAACAAUGAGAUGCAAUCAAAACAACACAUACUCCAAAAAUAAAAAUAAAUAGCAUUCCCGUAUCCUUGUAAAGAUGAAAACUCACCGCUAAACCAUUUGUAUAAUCGAAACAACUGCAAGACCAAAAAAAAGAAAAAAAAAGGGACAGGUUAGGAAAAUAUACGACAGAUAUAAACUAUAGUAUUUGAUAUAUGUGGCAUUUCUGUUUGUGAAAUACGUCAUCUAAUUGUAAGUUACUUGUUCAAUCGAUCUGAGGGAAUUCACAAAUGAAAAGUUAAUAAAUAUGUAGCAGUAGUACAGGUGGUGAUGACAAUGAUACUUCUGCGUUUCCAAUAUCAAGCAUGGUCCCUGAAUCUUAUUGACUAUAGCUUCGGGGACAUCUGGUACAAUUAGAAUGAGAAGUGAAGAUUACCAUGUAUUUAACAACUCUCUCCUAAAGCCCCAAAAACAUCUAUAAAGUUCAAUGCAUGUGCACACAAUGCUUUUGAUAAUGUCAACAUGUGUUGAUUGUGUGUGUGUGAGAGAGAGAGAGCAAUUGUUUAUCUUUCCUUUUCUUUGCAUAUUUAGUGUACAUCCACUGCAAUCUUAUCCUCAAGGUUGCUAGUCCUAUUUAGUUGCUGAUGUUCUUUCUUAAUAUCUAAAGGUAUGUCUACAGCAAUUUCAGAAAUCAAUUUUCCUUCACCAAAACUGUCAAUCAUACCUUCUAGUUGUUGAAUCUAAUUCACAUAAAAAAUAUUCAAAAACUACUAAGUAUUACAAAGGAAAGGACAAACAGUACCUAUAACAAGAAGGAGCAAUUACAUCAACCAACUCAUUUGCUGGCAGAGAGAAAUACGGAACCUGCUUUGGUUAUGAAAUGAGAUGAAGUAGCAUGAAUGGGAGAGUAAAUACCAAUUUGAACAUAUGAGGACCACUUUUACCUCUUCAAUAUGACCAUCCAAAUGCUUCAAGUGAACCUAUCAAGAGUACAGGAAUAAAAUUUAAGAAAUAAUAUAGCCAACUAGCCUGUUAAGAAAUGCUCACACUAGGAAUGGUUGGCAUAUAAGAAAAGAUAAACAAUUAGUGUCCAUUUUACUAUCAUAAGCAUAUAAUCUAAAACAGAUAUAAGCCUGUCAGACCGCACCACUAAAUUAUUAUAAAAGUAAAAUAAAUGUAUCCAUGAAAUCUUUCAGAAAAUUUGUGAAAAGCCCAAUCCCACAGAACUCAUCCAAGGUUGAUCCCCUUUUUCGAAACAAGAUUAUUGCUAUAAGUGUUAAACAAAGGGUGUGCAAUGGCACACAUGACCACCUUGAAACAUUGCUCAGACCUUGGGCUCUUCUAAUAAUUGAAAUUAGUACCUUUUAUGAUAACUCAUCCAAAUCCUGUACUAUAUAGAGAUCAAAUACUCAAUCGCCACAAAAUCUACAAAAGGAAUUUCUUAGUGCAAACCUUGUAAUCUUGCAUAAACUCAUAAUGAAGAACUGUCUCCGGUUCACUACUUGCAGCCUUUAAAAACUUAUCAAGCCCUUCUCGAGUCCCAUUGUCCACUGUCAAACAAGGGCAUCAGUACUGAUACAAAUUCUACUACUUGUUACUGAUGUCAUUUACUAGAAUGAGGGCAUUAUAUAGUUGUUGACUACAUACAUAUUUAAUAAAUAAUGAUGCUGCGGUUGAUGAUGUGAUGAUUAUGAUUACAGAGACAGUAAGAUACAGUUUAUUAUAGUAGUUCAUCUAUGCCAUGUUUAACAUGAUGUCAUGGCAAUUAUAUACAUAUUUUUCCUCUGGGGCCUUAAGUAAUAGACAUAAGUAAACUUGAUGGCUAGACUACUCAUCGAAAUCGAGAAACAUAAAAAAUAAAAUAAUAAUAAUGCAUACGCCUUUUACUAACCGCAAUUUGUGCCUAACACAUAGAGCUUGUCCAAAUUUAAAUGGUGCUCCACAGAUCGUAAUGCUGCAGUUUAAGAAAUUACUCUGCAUUACGAUAGUACAAGUCACAACAGAGAAGGACUGAAAGUAGAACUUGUAAGAUUAUAUUAUAAAUGCUACCUUGCACCUGGCAACCCACACCACAGAAUAGAAGUUUCUUUACACCUGCAGCCUAUUUUACAGGAAAGGCAAACACUUGUGUCACUAAAACUCAUAAGAAACGUGCAAUUUUGUAACAACAAAGGGGCAGUGUAGAAUAAACAAAUGUGUGCCUGCACACACACAUACACCCAUACAUAGACCAAACAAAAUGAACUUCUGAAGAGUGAAACCAGAACAGGAGUUAUUAUGCCUAAAGUCUAUAAACAAGAAACAAAAUCAGAAAGGUAAAGAACAAACCCUCCAACAUGUGAACCCACAAGUUAGGGACGCUAAAAGGCCAUACGCUAAAAAACCUCCAACUUAUGUUUUGUCAAGGAAUCUUCCUCCUCAUUGGCAGUCCUAGCCACCUUCAAAAUACUAUACCCACAAAACUCCAUUAACCAGUGAGUGUAUGUAUAAGGAACAGGGAAAUCAGCUCUGGGCGUCUAAUAAUGGAGGAAGUGUUGCCCUCCAAAACUUUAUGGAAAAAAAAGAGAAGUGCCAAAGGAGGGGCGCCGUAUUUGUAUAAAUUAGAUCUGUAGUUAUAGUCACAAGACUCACAACUAACAAGGAAAUCGAAGGAGUAGGACGAAGUACAAACCAUUCACUCAAAAGCAAUACCAACAAUUAAGAUUCAAGCUCCAUAAAAGGAUGGUCCAUCACUUAAAGGACAGAAAAGUCCUAAACAAAAAAACCCAGACCACAAAGGAUGCUAUGCUCUUAUUAAAGUUGACUCAACCACAAAGCAUGUUCGUUAAAUAGCACAGGAAAUAGUAAAUUAAGAUUUGUGUCACUAAUGAAAAAGAAAAUCAGCCACCUCAACUAGGGCAAGGGUAUUAAGAUUAGGAGAUAAUGUCGGCUUGACACCUUUAGCAGCUAAAACUUCCUCUGGUGUCCUGUUGAGAAGGGGGUAAAGAGAAAUGACAUAAUGAGGAUGGAAUAACAAUAACCAGAAACAAAAAUUGUCAUUGAGAAAAAUCAAAAUGGUAGAAGAAUUUUGUCUCAAAGAAAAUGAACUAGAUGCAAACCUUGCUAAUACAGGCCGUGCAGUAAAUCUGUCGUUUGGGUCACUGUAAUAAUUAAAACCAUAUGAUAAUUAACAUUCCAAAAGGGGAAAAAGGUAAAAGGAUUGAAUAGGAUAGAUGAGUCCAUAAUGUUAUCUACUCCAGUAAAUUCAGGCCAGGACCUCUGUACACAAAUUACGGCCUCUACCAUGCCUGAUUUUAGCAUUUCUAUUGCAAUAGUUGUUACUAUUCCUGUCCACUGAGCUCCUGCCAUCAAAGAAAGCAAUGCAACAUUUUCAUAUUACAGUGACGAGAAAAAUCAGACGAGACACAAAAGAUGCACUACAAAGCAUUUGACUCAAGAAAUUCUGACACACGAUAAAGAAAUUAUUUACACAAAUUGCAAUUUAUUAUGAGAAUUUCAAAAUUUUAAAAGUUAAAUAAAUAAAACUCAAAUCUUAAACUGGAAAAGUAGGUAGAAUUCCUAGUAAUGAAAAAUGGGAUGACUUAGAUGCCUCAGAUGAGGUUCUACAAACUAACACUACCAAUCUCCCUUGACAUAAGACUAAAACUAUAGUGAUGCUGAAUGACUGAUAAAACAAAAUUACCUUCAACAGGGAUCACUUUACGAGCAUACAACAACUCCUCAUAGACACCCAAGUACAUUUCAUCUGAGGAACCUGUUUUUCUCCCUCUACCAUGAACUACAGGUUCCAAGCCCUGAAUGGGAAAACAAAAGGGUACAUGAAUGCUGGAAUAUCAAAGAAACAACUUGAGUUUUUAUUGAAUUAACCAACAACGCUAGGUUACUAUAAAGUAUAAAAAUCCAAAGCUAUGUAGUUCCACAAGUCUAGAUGAUGAUUUAGUUAAAUAUGAAAAGAAAACUAAUAGUAAUGAUAAUAAAGAAAUCUAAUGACAACAUUGGUUGUAGUUCCACAAAGAAACAACAUUGGUUGAAGUAAAAAUUUGGUCUGGUAGCACCUCUAACUUGAAUUUCAAGAAUCAAGACUGAUGAAUAAAAUGGAAAUCAUGCAUGGCAAUGGAUCAUUAAAAAAAUUAUAUUUUGAACGCAAAUUGAAGUUCGAUCAUUCCACUGCACUUCAUAUAAGCGCUUCAAAUGUCCCCAUCCGGUGUAUGGUACAUGAUAUUAGAGAACUCGAGCAUUACUGUGCUCUAAAUUUGUUUCAGGAUUUCAAGAAAUGACACCAACUUCCAUCUACUAUUUAAGAGUAAAAAUUCAAUGAAAGUAUGAAAAAUUGGGAGAGGAACAAGAACUUACUUCAAUCUUAGACAUUCCAUCUCCUAAGAAAGCACAGGCUUCCUUGACAUGGGCAAUGUAAUAUGUGUCGCACAACCCGCAACGACUACCAAAAGACAAGAUUCAGCAAAUAAAGAAAUAAAUAAAAAUUCAAACUUUAAAUGCAAAAAUUUAAAUUUAUAAAACGUAAAAGUGGGGUAAUGAAAGGAAGUGAAAGAGCUUCAAAAAUGAACCUGCAGUGGUCUUUAGCCGGAUAAGUGCCACCAGGAGGAAUGGGUCUGGAGCGUUGCCUCCAGUCCUCUCUCAGCUUCACUGACUUUGAGUUGGGUUUUCCAUCUGUUCCACCACAUAACACAACACAAACUUUGCUGUGAAACAAACACGCAGAUACACAAACAGAGGCGCACAUAGAGAGUUUUGGGUGGUACCUUUAGAGGAAGAGGAAGAGGAAGAGGAAGAGGAAGAUGAAGAUGAGGAAACAAUGGAGAGUGAGAGAGGAAGGGAAUAGAGCUUGGCAAUUAGAGAACACAUUGCAGCUGAGAGAAACCCCAAGCCAACAAUAAUGCAACUGAAACAGAGUGAGAG
rnacentral:lncRNA from 1 species